AAGUCGUAACAAGGUUUCCGUAGGUGAACCUGCGGAAGGAUCAUUACCAAAUCCAAAAAAAACUUUCUAUCAACACCCCAAUGUGAACUGAGAAUGGUUUCGUCCCUCCGAAUUCUUCUCUUCUUCGGAAGAAAGGGAGGAGGAGGGAUGUUCAAACACAUUUUUUUUUUUCAACCCCUUUUCAACCAUUAAAAACCCAUUUUUUUAAUGCUGAAAGCAAAACAAAAAAUACGAAACAUGAGACAACUUUUAACGGUGGAUCUCUUGGCUCGU
rnacentral:misc_RNA from 1 species